rnacentral:misc_RNA from 1 species
GGAAUGCGAUAAUUAAUGUGAAUUGCAGAAUUCAGUGAAUCAUCGAGUCUUUGAACGCACAUUGCGCCCCCUGGUAUUCCGGGGGGCAUGCCUGUCCGAGCGUCAUUGCUGCCCUCAAGCACGGCUUGUGUGUUGGGCUUCCGUCCCUGGCAACGGGGACGGGCCCAAAAGGCAGUGGCGGCACCAUGUCUGGUCCUCGAGCGUAUGGGGCUUUGUCACCCGCUCCCGUAGGUCCAGCUGGCAGCUAGCCUCGCAACCAAUCUUUUUAACCAGGUUGACCUCGGAUCAGGUAGGGAUACCCGCUGAACUUAAGC